rnacentral:rRNA from 1 species
AGGAAUAUUGGUCAAUGGACGAGAGUCUGAACCAGCCAAGUAGCGUGAAGGAUGAAGGUCCUACGGAUUGUAAACUUCUUUUAUAAGGGAAUAAACCCUCCCACGUGUGGGAGCUUGUAUGUACCUUAUGAAUAAGCAUCGGCUAACUCCGUGCCAGCAGCCGCGGUAAUACGGAGGAUGCGAGCGUUAUCCGGAUUUAUUGGGUUUAAAGGGAGCGCAGACGGGUCGUUAAGUCAGCUGUGAAAGUUUGGGGCUCAACCUUAAAAUUGCAGUUGAUACUGGCGUCCUUGAGUGCGGUUGAGGUGUGCGGAAUUCGUGGUGUAGCGGUGAAAUGCUUAGAUAUCACGAAGAACUCCGAUUGCGAAGGCAGCACACUAAGCCGUAACUGACGUUCAUGCUCGAAAGUGUGGGUAUCAAACAGGAUUAGAUACCCUGGUAGUCCACACGGUAAACGAUGGAUACUCGCUGUUGGCGAUAUACAGUCAGCGGCUUAGCGAAAGCGUUAAGUAUCCCACCUGGGGAGUACGCCGGCAACGGUGAAACUCAAAGGAAUUGACGGGGGCCCGCACAAGCGGAGGAACAUGUGGUUUAAUUCGAUGAUACGCGAGGAACCUUACCCGGGCUUAAAUUGCAAAGGAAUAAUCUGGAAACAGAUUAGUCUUCGGACCUUUGUGAAGGUGCUGCAUGGUUGUCGUCAGCUCGUGCCGUGAGGUGUCGGCUUAAGUGCCAUAACGAGCGCAACCCUCGCCGCCAGUUACUAACAGGUAAUGCUGAGGACUCUGGCGGGACUGCCAUCGUAAGAUGUGAGGAAGGUGGGGAUGACGUCAAAUCAGCACGGCCCUUACGUCCGGGGCUACACACGUGUUACAAUGGGCGGUACAGAAGGCAGCUACCUGGCGACAGGAUGCCAAUCCCUAAAGCCGCUCUCAGUUCGGACUGGAGUCUGCAACCCGACUCCACGAAGCUGGAUUCGCUAGUAAUCGCGCAUCAGCCACGGCGCGGUGAAUACGUUCCCG